rnacentral:rRNA from 1 species
GAUGAACGCUAGCUACAGGCUUAACACAUGCAAGUCGAGGGGAAACGGCAUUAAGUGCUUGCACUUUUUGGACGUCGACCGGCGCACGGGUGAGUAACGCGUAUCCAACCUUCCCAUGACUAAGGGAUAACCUGCCGAAAGGCAGACUAAUACCUUAUGGUCUUCACUGACGGCAUCAGAUGUGAAGUAAAGAUUUAUCGGUUAUGGAUGGGGAUGCGUCUGAUUAGCUUGUUGGCGGGGUAACGGCCCACCAAGGCAACGAUCAGUAGGGGUUCUGAGAGAAAGGUCCCCGACAUUGGAACUGAGACACGGUCCAAACUCCUACGGGAGGCAGCAGUGAGGAAUAUUAGUCAAUGGGCGAGAGCCUGAACCAGCCAAGUAGCGUGCAGGAUGACGGCCCUAUGGGUUGUAAACUGCUUUUGUAUGGGGAUAAAGUCAAUCACGUGUGAUUGUUUGCAGGUACCAUACGAAUAAGGACCGGCUAAUUCCGUG